AAAUUGAAGAGUUUGAUCAUGGCUCAGAUUGAACGCUGGCGGCAGGCCUAACACAUGCAAGUCGAACGGUAACAGGAAGCAGCUUGCUGCUUUGCUGACGAGUGGCGGACGGGUGAGUAAUGUCUGGGAAACUGCCUGAUGGAGGGGGAUAACUACUGGAAACGGUGGCUAAUACCGCAUAAUGUCGCAAGACCAAAGAGGGGGACCUUCGGGCCUCUUGCCAUCAGAUGUGCCCAGAUGGGAUUAGCUAGUUGGUGAGGUAACGGCUCACCAAGGCGACGAUCCCUAGCUGGUCUGAGAGGAUGACCAGCCACACUGGAACUGAGACACGGUCCAGACUCCUACGGGAGGCAGCAGUGGGGAAUAUUGCACAAUGGGCGCAAGCCUGAUGCAGCCAUGCCGCGUGUAUG
rnacentral:rRNA from 1 species